UACGAAGGGGGCUAGCGUUGCUCGGAAUCACUGGGCGUAAAGCGCACGUAGGCGGGUCCUUAAGUCAGGGGUGAAAUCCUGGAGCUCAACUCCAGAACUGCCUUUGAUACUGAUAGUCUUGAGUAUGGGAGAGGUGAGUGGAACUGCGAGUGUAGAGGUGAAAUUCGUAGAUAUUCGCAAGAACACCAGUGGCGAAGGCGGCUCACUGGCCCAUUACUGACGCUGAGGCACGAAAGCGUGGGGAGCAAACAGG
rnacentral:rRNA from 1 species